GAUGAACGCUGGCGGCGUGCCUAAUACAUGCAAGUCGAGCGAACAGACGAGGAGCUUGCUCCUCUGACGUUAGCGGCGGACGGGUGAGUAACACGUGGAUAACCUACCUAUAAGACUGGGAUAACUUCGGGAAACCGGAGCUAAUACCGGAUAAUAUAUUGAACCGCAUGGUUCAAUAGUGAAAGACGGUUUUGCUGUCACUUAUAGAUGGAUCCGCGCCGCAUUAGCUAGUUGGUAAGGUAACGGCUUACCAAGGCAACGAUGCGUAGCCGACCUGAGAGGGUGAUCGGCCACACUGGAACUGAGACACGGUCCAGACUCCUACGGGAGGCAGCAGUAGGGAAUCUUCCGCAACGGGCGAAAGCCUGACGGAGCAACGCCGCGUGAGUGAUGAAGGUCUUCGGAUCGUAAAACUCUGUUAUUAGGGAAGAACAAAUGUGUAAGUAACUAUGCACGUCUUGACGGUGCCUAAUCAGAAAGCCACGGCUAACUACGUGCCAGCCGCCGCAGUAA
rnacentral:rRNA from 1 species